CGGGGAGCACCACAACAGGUGGAGCCUGCGGUUUAAUUGGACUCAACGCCGGGAAACUCACCAGAUAAGACAGCUGAAUGAUAGUCGGGCUGAAGACUCUACUUGACUAGCUGAGAGGAGGUGCAUGGCCGUCGUCAGUUCGUACUGUGAAGCAUCCUGUUAAGUCAGGCAACGAGCGAGACCCACGCCAACAGUUGCCAGCUCGUCCUCCGGGAUGGUGGGGACACUGUUGGGACCGCCUCUGCUAAAGAGGAGGAAGGAAUGGGCAACGGUAGGUCAGCAUGCCCCGAAUUAUCUGGGCUACACGCGGGCUACAAUGGGUGGGACAAUGGGUAUCGACACCGAAAGGUGAAGGCAAUCUCCUAAACCCAUCCGUAGUUCGGAUUGUGGGCUGCAACUCGCCCACAUGAAGCUGGAAUCUGUAGUAAUCGUGUCUCAAAAUGGCACGGUGAAUAUGUCCCUGCUCCUU
rnacentral:rRNA from 1 species